rnacentral:misc_RNA from 1 species
GCAAACUUGGUCAUUUAGAGGAAGUAAAAGUCGUAACAAGGUCUCCGUAGGUGAACCUGCGGAGGGAUCAUUAACGAGUGAAGGGCCUUCGGGCUCGACCUCCAACCCUUUGCUGUCCGACUGCGUUGCUUCGGGGGGUGGCCCUGCCCAAGCGGCCGACGCCCCCCGGAGGAAACCCUUUUAAAACUCUGCGUCAAUUUGCGUCUGAGUAUUUUCUCGAAUUUAAAUCAAAACUUUCAACAACGGAUCUCUUGGUUCUGGCAUCGAUGAAGAACGCAGC